CCCUUUUAGGGAGUAUUCUGAUGAUUAACAGACCAACAUCAAUUUUUGAGUGUUGGAGAAGGGUUUAAGGAAAUGUAGCAGUCUCUGACUGUGUUAUAGUCCUGAGCUUUGAUACAAUGCUUAAGAUUGAGGAAUGCAGUAAGCCUUUUAGGUGGAACAAAUUAUUGUUCUUCUUACUGAGGAUGUUGGUGCAAUAGCUUUAAAUGACCCGUCUUGAAACACGGACCAAGGAGUCUAACAUGCUUGCGAGUAUUUGGGUGUUUGAAACCCUUAUGCACAAUGAAAGUAAAUGUAAAUGGGAACUUUUUUAAGUGCACCAUUGACCAGUCCAGAU
rnacentral:rRNA from 1 species